GACACUGCAAAAAAAUCAUUUAACCAAAUUAAGUUAAGUAUAAAUACAUUUUGAAAAAUGUUGGUGAGCCACUGGACUGGCAGAGUGUCUGAUGCUGCUGGAACUUGAAGAUGGAGCAAAGGAGGCAUGAAAGAGCUGAAGGAAGAAAUAGCCCCAUUUGAUAUGGCAAGCGUGAAUAACUUAAACUAAUAGGGAAGAAAAUAACAGGAAAGAACAGCGAAGACGAGAGACAGAGACUGGACGUGUUGUUCUAAAGCACACAUGUCUAAUGAUGAGGAUGUCCUUGAUGAAUUCAUUGUUUGAUAAUAGUCUGUCUUUGUCAAAAACUCAAUCCCAGAAUUCCAUCGAUGUCAGUGUCUAUAUGAUCCAUCUGUCGCCUAAAUGCUGGCUGACUUUGCCUAAGGGGAUAUUAACAUAUGUCACUCUCUAUUCAGAAUGA
rnacentral:lncRNA from 1 species